rnacentral:rRNA from 1 species
GAACCUUACCUAAGCUUGACAUCCCAAUGACAUCUCCUUAAUCGGAGAGUUCCCUUCGGGGACAUUGGUGACAGGUGGUGCAUGGUUGUCGUCAGCUCGUGUCGUGAGAUGUUGGGUUAAGUCCCGCAACGAGCGCAACCCUUGUCUUUAGUUGCCAUCAUUAAGUUGGGCACUCUAGAGAGACUGCCAGGGAUAACCUGGAGGAAGGUGGGGAUGACGUCAAAUCAUCAUGCCCCUUAUGCUUAGGGCUACACACGUGCUACAAUGGGUAGUACAGAGGGUUGCCAAGCCGUAAGGUGGAGCUAAUCCCUUAAAGCUACUCUCAGUUCGGAUUGUAGGCUGAAACUCGCCUAAAUAAAGAUAGUGUUACUAAUAAUUGGAGAUGAGAAUGCUGCGGUGAAUGCGUUCCCGGGUCUUGUACACACCGCCCGUCACACCACGGGAGUUGGAGACGCCCGAAGCCGAUUAUCUAACC